rnacentral:rRNA from 1 species
UACGGAGGGGGCUAGCGUUGUUCGGAAUUACUGGGCGUAAAGCGUGCGCAGGCGGUUGUGCAAGACAGAUGUGAAAUCCCCGGGCUCAACCUGGGAAUUGCAUUUGUGACUGCACGGCUAGAGUGUGUCAGAGGGGGGUAGAAUUCCACGUGUAGCAGUGAAAUGCGUAGAUAUGUGGAGGAAUACCGAUGGCGAAGGCAGCCCCCUGGGAUAACACUGACGCUCAGGCACGAAAGCGUGGGGAGCAAACAGG